CAGGGAAGCAUAAUGCACUUGGUGGUACUUCGAUGUUCUAUGAAAUACGACGGUAUACCUCAAUCGCUGCGUAGCAGAGAGAACACCAGAUGUGUUUGCUCUUGUUGAGGACUCCUUCUUUGAAUGCUGUUAUAGUUUGACUUUAAAGAAGUGUGUGCGUCUGUUCUAUUUCAUGCAUGAGUAGUGCUCAUCAACUGUUCCAAGGCUUAGAAAGCUCCAGCAGAUAUCCUACAGUCGGAUCUACCUUAGCUCGUUACAGGCUGCUGCGUGUCUACUAAUUACCGUUACAGCAUGUCACGUAAUUUUCUGACCUUGAAAUGAUGUGUCCACUGCACUGAUUUCUAGUGGUAACUCGAAAAGUGGACUCACACUUCACUGUUCAUUCUUCUAUGAACGUAGCAACUUAAGGAUUAGCGCAGAGAAAGACAGAGGCAGCGCUUGAUAGCAAGGAGACCGCUGUAAGCAGAAAAGGGAAGCUAGAAGUAGUUUAAAGAAAAUAAAAGCAAAAUAAGAGCUUUCAGAUAUUUUGUCUGGAAGCUGGAUUCCUUCACCUGUUGUGCAGCAGCUACCCAAGUAAUUUACCCAAGUAAUUUACCCAAGUGUUACCCAAACAAAAGUGCUUUCAACAAUUCUCCCUUUUUUCUUCAUGUACCCGUAGCACAGGUGAAAGCCUAGAUUAUAGGCUAGAAGAGAUAAAAAGUUGGCAGUUAGUUGAAAAAUUGCAUAGAUACUUGAAGGAAAUCUUGUAACAAGCCUUCUGACCUGUACAAUUUAGCAGAUUCCAGUGUACUUUCCCAUGCUUUUGCUCCUUCCCCAGGUACAGUGGAUAUUGAAGAAAACUGAAGAGCAUUAUUUGUGAAGUAAGGCAUUGCUCAACGCGUGAAAAAUGGCCCAGGUAUUAUUCAGAGUCCGAGAUAAAUUCUCAUGUCUCUGAAAAACACUCAUCAUCAUCCUCGUACGGAGUUUAAACGCUUUGACCUCUUUGCGCUCUACGCUGGUAAACGUGACGGAGCAGAAAGUGGUAUAUUCUCAACAGCCUCUUCUAACAGCUGUCCAGGAAGGAUGAUGGAGGGCGAACUUGGAACUGCUGAAACAACCUGCCCUGCUAUAUUAGCUCAGAGAAUAGCACACCGCUGCCAACAGCAAAACUGAAGUUAUUUCAGAUCUUUCAUCAUUUCUAGACUCAGGAGAAAAUUUUAAAAGAAGGUAAUGUUUGUCCUUUAUAUUUGUUUAUUGCUACGCUAAUGAAAGGAGAGAGUAUUACAUGUAACCUUUUGUAAGAGAGAGGAAAAGAAAAAUAAAAGCUUUUAUCUGAGCCUCA
rnacentral:lncRNA from 1 species